GUUGCAGGCAAUCACAACUUGCUCAUAAAUUGUCCAGGUGUCGAUUGGCAAAGUUGUUUCAUAACCAGAAUAACUAUUUUAUCUAUAAAAAUGAAAACGCCCUUAAUUCUCACAGUCCUCACGUGGACUUUGAUUUCAUUUGCCAUUUUUGAGGGUACAAGUGCUUCCCCUAUUCCAGCCGUGGGCGAAAGUGAUUUCCCUGCUGGCUGUUCUUGCGGUUCGUCUACGACUACUUCCGGUACUCCGAAAAGUGCUGCUGCCUCGAUAGUUGGAGGAGGCGAAGUAACCGAGGCUGGUGGAAUUGUCGGGGCGUUUAAUACUCUCUACAACGCGAUUUACGAGACAAUUUCCUUCAUUUAUCAAGCAGCAGAAGCAACCUGGGCUAAUCUUGGGACAUAAGUGUAAUACUACCAAAAUUAGAAGUAUACUUUUGUAAGUGGAAAAUUGGAACACAUCUCAAAAAUAUUCUGCUGUAUGAAAUUGGAGCGAAUAAGAAUUAUCCAAGGCAUUGUAACAACCUUCAAAAUAAGUUCAUUUCCUUCUCUUCUCUUUCCAUGAAUAAAAUAAUUUCAACCCCGGA